GCGGAGGAAAAGAAACCAACUGGGAUUACCUUAGUAACGGCGAGUGAAGCGGUAAAAGCUCAAAUUUGAAAUCUGGUACUUUCAGUGCCCGAGUUGUAAUUUGUAGAAUUUGUCUUUGAUUAGGUCCUUGUCUAUGUUCCUUGGAACAGGACGUCAUAGAGGGUGAGAAUCCCGUUUGGCGAGGAUACCUUUUCUCUGUAAGACUUUUUCGAAGAGUCGAGUUGUUUGGGAAUGCAGCUCAAAGUGGGUGGUAAAUUCCAUCUAAAGCUAAAUAUUGGCGAGAGACCGAUAGCGAACAAGUACAGUGAUGGAAAGAUGAAAAGAACUUUGAAAAGAGAGUGAAAAAGUACGUGAAAUUGUUGAAAGGGAAGGGCAUUUGAUCAGACAUGGUGUUUUUUGCAUGCACUCGCCUCUCGUGGGCUUGGGCCUCUCAAAAAUUUCACUGGGCCAACAUCAAUUCUGGCAGCAGGAUAAAUCAUUAAGAAUGUAGCUACUUCGGUAGUGUUAUAGCUUUUUGGACUACUGCUAACCGGGAUUGAGGACUGCACU
rnacentral:rRNA from 1 species